rnacentral:rRNA from 1 species
UUUCCGGUUGAUCCUGCCGGACCCUACUGCUAUCGGGAUGAGACUAAGCCAUGCUAGUUGUACGCUCUUUAGCUAUGUUGAGAGCGUAGCGAACGGCUCCGUAACACGUUGUUAAUCUACCCUUAGGAUAGGUAUAACCCCGGGAAACUGGGUCUAAUACCCAAUAGGUAAAAGUGCCUGGAAUGGUUUUUACUUAAAAGGUUUUAGAAACAUGCUUCUAAGACUGCCUAAGGAUGAGACUGCGUCCGAUCAGGUUGUUGGUGGGGUAACGGCCUACCAAGCCUAUAACCGGUACGGGCCCUGAGAGGGGGAGCCCGGAGAUGGGAACUGAGACAAGGUCCCAGGCCCUACGGGGCGCAGCAGGCGCGAAACCUCCACAAUACACGAAAGUGUGAUGGGGUUAUCCCGAGUGCCGUCCGAUAAGGAUGGCUUUUACCUGUUGUAAAGCGUCAGGAGAAUAAAGGGGGGGCAAGACUGGUGUCAGCCGCCGCGGUAAUACCAGCCCCCUGAGUGGUAGGGACGAUUAUUUGGCCUAAAGUGUUCGUAGCCGGUUUAACAAGUCUUUUGUUAAAUCCAACGGCUUAACCGUUGGGCCGCGAAAGAUACUAUUAAACUAGAGGACGGGAGAAGUCGACGGUAUUUCCGGGGUAGGGGUGAAAUCCUAUAAUCCCGGGAGGACCACCAGUGGCGAAGGCGGUCGACUAGAACGUGCCUGACGGUGAUGGACGAAAGCUAGGGGAGCGAACCGGAUUAGAUACCCGGGUAGUCCUAGCUGUAAACGAUGCGGGCUAGGUGUUGGAGUAGCUAUGCGCUAUUUCAGUGCCGCAGAGAAGUCGUUAAGCCCGCCGCCUGGGAAGUACGAUCGCAAGAUUGAAACUUAAAGGAAUUGGCGGGGGAGCACCACAAGGGGUGAAGCCUGCGGUUCAAUUGGAGUCAACGCCGGGA